AAUAGAUACCCGGGUAGUCCACGCCGUAAACGAUGAGUGCUAAGUGUUGGGGGGUUUCCGCCCCUCAGUGCUGCAGCUAACGCAUUAAGCACUCCGCCUGGGGAGUACGGUCGCAAGACUGAAACUCAAAGGAAUUGACGGGGGCCCGCACAAGCGGUGGAGCAUGUGGUUUAAUUCGAAGCAACGCGAAGAACCUUACCAGGUCUUGACAUCCCGGUGACCACUAUGGAGACAUAGUUUCCCCUUCGGGGGCAACGGUGACAGGUGGUGCAUGGUUGUCGUCAGCUCGUGUCGUGAGAUGUUGGGUUAAGUCCCGCAACGAGCGCAACCCUUAUUCUUAGUUGCCAUCAUUCAGUUGGGCACUCUAAGGAGACUGCCGGUGAUAAACCGGAGGAAAGUGGGGAUGACGUCAAAUCAUCAUGCCCCUUAUGACCUGGGCUACACACGUGCUACAAUGGACGGUACAAACGGUUGCCAACCCGCGAGGGGGAGCUAAUCCGAUAAAACCGUUCUCAGUUCGGAUUGUAGGCUGCAACUCGCCUACAUGAACG
rnacentral:rRNA from 1 species